rnacentral:rRNA from 1 species
CACGUAGGGUGCGAGCGUUGUCCGGAAUUAUUGGGCGUAAAGAGCUCGUAGGCGGUGUGUCGCGUCGGCCGUGAAAACCUGCAGCUUAACUGUGGGCUUGCGGUCGAUACGGGCAUCACUGGAGUUCGGCAGGGGAGACUGGAAUUCCCUGGUGUAGAGGUGAAAUUCGUGCGUAUAGUAAGGAAGAACCCAAGCGGCGUAGGGCGAAGGUCACCCUGGCCCAUUACU